rnacentral:snRNA from 1 species
GUGCUCGCUUCAGCAGCACAUAAACUAAAAUUGGAACGAUACAGAGAAGAUUAGCAUGGCCCCUGCACAAGUAUGAUACGCAAAUUUGUGAAGUGUCCCAUAUUUUU